AAGGACAGAAAAGUGAAGGCAAAAUCU
rnacentral:piRNA from 1 species